CACGUAGGGCGCAAGCGUUGUCCGGAAUUAUUGGGCGUAAAGAGCUCGUAGGCGGUCUGUUGCGUCCGCUGUGAAAACUCGGGGCUUAACCCCGAGCCUGCAGUGGAUACGGGCAGACUAGAGGUAGGUAGGGGAGAGUGGAAUUCCCGGUGUAGCGGUGAAAUGCGCAGAUAUCAGGAGGAACACCGAUGGCGAAGGCAGGUCUCUGGGCCACUACUGACGCUGAGAAGCGAAAGCAUGGGGAGCGAACAGG
rnacentral:rRNA from 1 species